rnacentral:rRNA from 1 species
UACGGGGGGGGCAAGCGUUGUUCGGAAUUACUGGGCGUAAAGGGCUCGUAGGCGGCCAACUAAGUCGGAUGUGAAAUCCCCAGGCUUAACCUGGGAACUGCAUCCGAUACUGGAUGGCUUGAAUCCGGGAGAGGGAUGCGGAAUUCCAGGUGUAGCGGUGAAAUGCGCAGAUAUCGGGAAGAACACCCGUGGCGAAGGCGGCUCUCUGGGACGGUACUGACGCUGAGACGCGAAAGCGUGGGGAGCGAACAGG